GAGGAAGCCGGUGAGAGCCCGGCACGGUCCCGCCACUGUGACCCCGGCCCGCGACGCGCGGCGCGGGGGAGUCAGGAACUC
rnacentral:ncRNA from 2 species